rnacentral:misc_RNA from 1 species
CAGCGAUCCAGGGCAGCUGCUUCUACCCUAUUCCGAAAUGUUUGAUAGAAAUAAUAAUAUACUCCCUGGGAGGCAGCGGUGCCAACGAGAGACGGGGCGAGACCGCCGUACAAGCGGAGCCAUCCAUCCUGCUUCACCACCUUGCAGAGCUGGUGUACGGCUCCAUCACUCCCCUUGGCCUUGGAGGGAUCGCGAUUGGUUUGCUGGAGCGUGUUGACCGUCUGCAAGGGAUAGGUGAGGAGCUGCGCGAUGAUCCCGCCGCCGGCGCCGGCAAGGCCGUUGAUCAGCGCAUCCGACAUUAAAGAGAAGCAGCUAUGACAUGAGGAG